GACAACAUGAAAAGAAACAACUCCAAAAAAAAUCACAAGGUCUUUAUUUGUAAAACAAAAAAGUGAGAAAGAUGCACUGGCAGUUUAUUGUAAUGAUUCUUUAAAGGAUUUGUGCCAUUUCAUCAAUUUCUUUAAAAGCAGCAAAUUAAUAUGUUCCAUGGAAAUUAAAUACUUGGCUUUCAGCUCCACUUUUUUUUUGCAGUUUACAUUUAAAAAAGAGUAAAGUCUUUUGGAAGGAGGUUAGGGGGUCAGUCAAUAGCUUUUGAAAUAUUAAUCAAUACAAAGUAUAACACAUAAAUUCUGUUUAGGAAAUACACCCUUAUUUAAAUCAUUUAUAUUUUCAAACAAUCAUUUAAUGAACAACACAAUAAACUUGAGAUCAAAUGAGUCGACAUUAAAAGCUGAAAACCAUUUAUAGACAUUUUCUAAACAUGGACAUGCUAUAACCUACAAUUUAAGACCACCUUCUAAUGAGAAAAUUAAAAAACAC
rnacentral:lncRNA from 1 species